rnacentral:rRNA from 1 species
UACGUAGGGUGCGAGCGUUGUCCGGAAUUAUUGGGCGUAAAGAGCUUGUAGGCGGUUUGUCGCGUCUGCUGUGAAAAUCCGGGGCUCAACCCCGGGCCUGCAGUCGAUACGGGCAGACUAGAGUGCGGUAGGGGAGACUGGAAUUCCUGGUGUAGCGGUGAAAUGCGCAGAUAUCAGGAGGAACACCAAUGGCGAAGGCAGAUCUCUGGGCCGUAACUGACGCUGAGGAGCGAAAGCAUGGGGAGCGAACAGG